rnacentral:rRNA from 1 species
GACGAACGCUGGCGGCGUGCUUAACACAUGCAAGUCGAACGGAAAGGCCCUGCUUGCAGGGUGCUCGAGUGGCGAACGGGUGAGUAACACGUGGGUGAUCUGCCCCUUACUUUGGGAUAAGCCUGGGAAACUGGGUCUAAUACUGGAUAGGACCAUGCUGUAGGUGGUGUGGUGGAAAGAUUAGUUUCGGUAAGGGAUGAGCUCGCGGCCUAUCAGCUUGUUGGUGGGGUAAUGGCCUACCAAGGCGUCGACGGGUAGCCGGCCUGAGAGGGUGGACGGCCACAUUGGGACUGCGAUACGGCCCAGGCUCCUACGGGAGGCAGCAGUGGGGAAUAUUGCACAAUGGGCGCAGGCCUGAUGCAGCGACGGCGCGUGGGGGUUGACGGCCUUCUGGUUGUAAACUCCUUUCAGCCAUGACGAAGCCCUUGUGGUGACGGUAGUGGUAGAAGAAGCACCGGCUAACUACGUG